ensembl:lincRNA
CUCUCCCUCCACCUCACUCGAGAAGCAAGCGCAGAGGAGGAAGGGCCUGGGCCGGGCAGGAAUGUCUAAACAAACCGACGUGAACAUAAAAAACACCACUAAAGAAAACAGAGCCGUGGAAACGAAAACACACACUAACUAGUACGAGUAGACCUUGCCGACACUUUAAGGCCAGUACAGAACGACAGCACGCUAAAAGCUGCGUCUUCCACCGUGGACAUGACAUAUCGGAAGAACACCGUGGGAAGUGUGCGUGAUGAAUCAAAAAGAAACCGUGGUUAAAAAACACGAAAGCAACGAGCUGAUGAGAAAACACACUUCAGUGCGUCUUUAUUAUAACAGAGCACUGCAGCGACACUUCCACAGCGAAGCAAACACGCGCCUUCCUUAACCACUGCUGACUUUUCUCAGGCGCAAAAGAUAGACACUCAAGCGUUCACAGGUCCACGGGUUUCCUUUUACAGUAUUUUAUUUUGGUCCGCUUUCUCGUCGGAGCGGUUAGAUAACCAGCACUGGAAAAAAAAAAAAUAGGUUCAGGACCUUCAGAAGUCUGGACUUGUCCCGCUCCCUUCCGUACUAUUCAGAAAUUUCAACGACUUCUGCUGGAAAUGUUCUGUCGUAUAUAGUGCGCACAGAUGGCCAACUGCAAUCCGGCCUGUAGCACCACAAGCCAGCACACCCCCGAGACAACUCCCUCUGCCUGUCCCGGGGCUGCUCCGACACGCUGUGCAACAGGAGGCGGACCCUGCGCGGAGGUCUGGAGGGAGAUCAGGAGAGGAGGAAGGGAAAGAUGUCGGCAAAGCGUCAGACGACAUCACGGUCGAGGACGAGCUCCGGCUUCGAGGCCAAGGGGACGGUUAAGGUGGGGGAAGAGCAGCACAGUGCAGCAGACAGCAGACCUGCUCCCCCGCCGCCGUGAACAGCCCAGCGGCCCAGACACCCGCCCGCAGCCCGGGGGGGGGGCGGUCCCGUCAGACCCCGGGCUCGACCCGACCGAGACGCACUGCCUGGGCCCCCCUCCCCGCGCCUCCCAGAGCCCCGCAGAGCUCUCCCAGCUCCGCACGCUAGAGGCCCCCAGAGGGAUAAACCACUUUCCCCGGGACACCGGCUGCUGCGCUCAUCGCCUGGCGUCUGCUGCCACCUAGCGACACAACGCGGGGACUGCUGCUGGGUCGCCACACGGGGCCCGUGUCGGCAGCGCCGCCUACCGAAACAACACGCGAUGGGCGACGUCCCGGCUACGCCGUCUGCGAAUUUCGGGGUUUUUCUUUUCCAUUUCCGUGAAGCCAACGUAAUACCGGCGACAAAAUAAAGUUCUGUUUGCAACAAACGUGCAAAUUGUAUCCUUAAUACCCCGCUUCCGCUCCCCCCCAAAAUAAAACCACCUUAGAGCCCUGCUCAGCUGCCUCUCAGCUUCCAGUCCAGAGGUGAAACCCCCCUGAACCCCCAAAAGCACAUUCUGGGGACAGGGAGGAGCCUGACUGUUACCUGGAAGAAACUCUUACCUGCGUAUUGAAGAGACAGCCUGGUGCGUUACGAACAGUCAUCUAAAAAAAGUGCAAGUAAUAAGCUUUGGGUAAUCGAAUCGCUGAAGAGCCUACUGUGCCACAAGUCCAUUGCAUCACAACCGUAUGUGAAGGGUCAAGAGUCUGCUAAGAGGGAAAUCAGACCAGAAGUGAGAGCAGGAAUUGGCAAAACGCAAAAUGACAGCAUAAGGAAAAAAAUGUAGGCGAAGUCAGCGCUAGCAAAUUGAGAACUGCGGGCCGCAGCAUCGAGGUAAUCUUUCCGAAGACGCAGUGAAGACGGAUGGUCUUAACUCUAACAAGGAGCUUGCCGGUGAACUAAAUCAUUAUCAUCUUGGGUUCUGACAAGUGGAGGAGGAAUCUGCGACACAGCGCAGUUCAACUCGUUUCAAGAGAACACGCCAGGCAGGGCCGGGGACGCGACAUCAUCGGUGGGCAGGCACCGAGGUCAGGAGCCGCGCAGCUCCGUACCGGAGGUCACUGUAUUUGCAAAAUAUCGCUGAACCGCCAGAAAGGACCCAAAACUGCAUCUUUGCGUACUUAUAAAAAAAAAACAGCCAACACCAGUUUCAAAACAUAAUUCCCCCCAAGACUUUAAAUGAUUUCAGGACGGUGGCACUGACCCCUUUAGUUGUGAAAUCACUUGAGAAAAUCGAUAACAGGCAGCACCUAGUGGAUCCCACGCAGUUGGCCAACAGGGCUGAAAGAGGAGUCGAAGAUGCUUCCCUGACAUAACUGAAACUCAGGUGGGGAGCUGCGUCAGCAUGCGUAGGCUGCAAAGGAACAAGUAAUAGGCUUACUCCAAGCUGAGAGGAGAAGAAAGAAAACACAACGUUGUGCUUUUUCUGCUCCUUUCAGCGUGGAAUAAACCUAUUUCUUGUUCCAUUACUGAAACUCUUCUGUUCACAUCCAGAAGGUCCCAAGACACACGCCCAGCUUUUAUUUAGAUUUCUCCUCAGCCUUUAACACCAUUCGGCCACAUCUGUUAGUGGCGAGAUUACUCUCACAUUUUAAUCUGGACUUUAAUUCUAUAGGUUUGAUUUGAGACAUUUCGAGCAAUAAAUCACAGGGAGUGAGGGCAAAUGGUUUUUGCUCUGCCUAUCAGAGUCGCGCUGAUUUUCCUUCUUGUAUCAGGGCUGUGUGCUGUCCCCCAUCCUGUGCAUUCUGUUCACAGACAGCUGUAGAAGCCCUGGAGAGGACAGACAUACUGACGUCUGCUGAUGACUCUGCCAGUCAGUCGGCUCCAAGACUUGUGAAUUAUGAUGUUGAUCGGCCCUUCCUCCAGCUCCUUCCUCCCGCUCGAUGUUUCAGUUGUGAUAACCGAUCAUAGAAAGCAACCACUAGCUGCAAAACCAACAGUCACCGAGGAGCAAGAAACUGAAAUUGUCAAGUUACAAAUAUUUUCGUACUCUUGUUAAUAACCUUUGAGGAAAACAACGCCAUAUGUAAGAUUGCUCUUCCUGAGUACACCUUGCUCUUUUAAUGUGCGUCCUACUUUAUUCUAUAGAAGUUUAAUGGAAUCUGUCCUAACAUUCCCUGCGGUAGCUUGGUUUGGUACCUUUAAUACAGGCAAUAAAAACACACUGAGCAGGAAUGUGAAGGUAAUCAGCAAAAUUAUUGGUUCCCAUGAGCUACAGUUUUCGGAAAUCUGCAUCAAGCAAACAGCGCAGAAGGCCAAUAUCAUCAGUGACCACUGUCAGCGGAACAACAGCUGUUUCCCCUCCAGGGCUCCAACCCGCAGCCUUUAGAGUUCCACACCCAGAAGGAUCCAAAACUACUACUCCACCACACGAACCAUAACCCAAUAUCCAAGGGGUCACACACCACACGGAGAUCUCAUCGAAUAGAACAGCACAAUAACUUGUCUAUGCCCUUUAGCACCUAGUGUGAUGCAACAUGUAAAUGAAUUCCAGUGUGCAUACAGGACUCGCACCAAGGAAGAAUGUGCCGCUGGAAAUGAUUGACUAAACUGUUCAAAUGGGGACAGAGACCAGAGAAGAAACAGGUUUUCUAGUUGACUGACAGCCUCUUGCCUGUCCAAGGGAGAGCAGAGCUGUUCUCGGGAGACCCUGGGCCACAGGAAAUGCAGAUGGACAGGAAGGCCUCCACUUUUCAACUUGGAAACACGGCCACUAGAAUAUUCCCAUGAGCUGCCCUUUUACAGCCCGGCUCUUCAAGCAUGGCCCUGGUGUGAGCCUGUGUGUGUCUGCCCUCCAUCCAGGGAGUGUGAGUGUGUGUGUCUGUGUGUCUCCUGUCCCGUCCAGGGUGUGCGAGUGUGUGUGUCUGUGUGUCUCCUGUCCCGUCCAGGGUGUGCAAGUGUGUGUGUCUCCUGUCCCGUCCAGGGUGUGCGAGUGUGUGUGUCUGUGUCUCCUGUCCCAUCCAGGGUGUGUGAGUGUGUGUGUCUCCCGUAAUGGACUGGCGUCCCAUCCAGGGUGUGUGUGUGUCUCCCGUGAUGGACUGGCGUCCCGCCCAGGGUGUGUGAGUGUGUCCUGUGAUGGACUGGCGUCCUGUCCAGGGUGUGUGUGUGUGUGUGUGUGUGUGUGUGUGUGUGUGUGUGUCCUGUGAUGGUCCAGGGUGUGUGUCUGGCAGGACAAAGCAGGAGAGGGUCAGAGGUCAGCGCAGCGCACGAGACAGAAGCUUCUGGGGGAUCUAGCGAGAGAGAACUGAGGGGGGCGGGGAACGACACAGCCGAGCCCCAAGGUCAGAGACAGAAGAGGCUGCUGGGAAGGGAGGGAGUGACAGCACGUCGAUCCAGGACGGUCCCGCUGUCCAGCAGCAGGGCCAGAAGACCACUGCGUCGGGACAGCAUCGCGGGGGUCCGCGCUCCCA